rnacentral:lncRNA from 10 species
CUACAACAAAUCAUAUUUUCCCUGCUUGUCUCUAAAGCAAGUCAUUUUGUCCGGAGGUUCAGCCACCUCUCUUGUCAAGGCACAGCAGGGGCUGUUGCUUGCCUGGGAACCCUGCCAAAGCUGUAACAGCACUCAAUUCACCUAGCAGGGGCCACCUGCUUCAGGGGCAUUGUGGACCAGUCCUCUGGACACUAGUUUUUGGAAGAAGGGACUUGACAGCCCCGGUGAGUGGUGAGAUUGAGUGGCACCAGGUGGACUGCUUGCCUGAGGCCGCUCACCCCAUGCAACUGCAAUUCCCAAGCCUUUUCCCUGGAUGUCAGCCUCUAUCCACAGCGAGGUGUCUCUUGAAAAUGGCUAUAAAACUUCUUGUCAAAUUGGAGUACUUUGGAAUAUUUAGGAAAAGUUGGCAGAGAGGAGACAGGACUAAAGUGCAGCUCCCACUUGGAUGAACUGAACAGUGUGUGGAGACUCACAUUGUGAAUUUUUGCUCCAAGAACUACCUCAGGAACAUACCAGAAAAACCAAAAGAAUUCACAGACCCUUUGAAAAAAGUGGCUUGCCAGUGCAAACUCCAUGAGACAGCUGAAAAACUGUGCUCUCUGUACACAGAGGGUUUUGUCUGUUUGGUCACCGAUAUAUCUUCAGUGCCCAGAACAGUGCAUGGCAAUGGCAGACUCUCAACUGAUGGUUUAAAGAGGUUGUCUUUUCCAAGGCCCAUCACCUGCUUCACAGAAUUUUCAGCUCUUUUGACAAUUUCCAAGACAAGGGAUGAGUUCCAGCCACCAUGUCAUGAGGAGACCCUGGAUACCCCAGCUCAGAGCCUAGAGUGAGUAUUUGCAUUGAAGAGGAAACGUCGUAUAUUUGAAAUUUUCCAUUUUCUAGACUAUGCUUUGGGUCUUCAACUUCCACGCCAACACCAGAGGAUAAGUAUUUGAGACCCCCACAUUGGUCAUCCAACUAUGAAAAAAUUCUCAUUUUAAGCAUAUACAGCUUAAAAAAAGAAUCAACUUCAUGUAUUUGGAAAACCGUAAGGAGAUGGAGAUGCAGAGAAGGAAAAUGACUUGCCUAGGAUUGCAUGCUG